rnacentral:rRNA from 1 species
UACGUAGGGGGCGAGCGUUGUCCGGAUUCAUUGGGCGUAAAGGGUGCGUAGGCGGCGCGGUAAGUCGGGUGUGAAAUCUCGGAGCUUAACUCCGAAACUGCAUUCGAUACUGCCGUGCUUGAGGACUGGAGAGGAGACUGGAAUUUACGGUGUAGCGGUGAAAUGCGCAGAUAUCAGGAGGAACACCGGUGGCGAAGGCGGGUCUCUGGGCCGAUACUGACGCUGAGGAGCGAAAGCGUGGGGAGCGAACAGG